AUUGAACGCUGGCGGCAUGCCUUACACAUGCAAGUCGAACGGCAGCACGGGAGCAAUCCUGGUGGCGGGUGGCGAACGGGUGAGUAAAGUAUCGGAACGUGCCCAGUCGUGGGGGAUAACGUAGCGAAAGUUACGCUAAUACCGCAUACGAUCUAUGGAUGAAAGCGGGGGAUCGCAAGACCUCGCGCGAUUGGAGCGGCCGAUAUCAGAUUAGGUAGUUGGUGGGGUAAAGGCUCACCAAGCCGACGAUCUGUAGCUGGUCUGAGAGGACGACCAGCCACACUGGGACUGAGACACGGCCCAGACUCCUACGGGAGGCAGCAGUGGGGAAUUUUGGACAAUGGGCGCAAGCCUGAUCCAGCCAUGCUGCGUGCAGGAUGAAGGCCUUCGGGUUGUAAACUGCUUUUGUACGGAACGAAAAGGUUUGACUUAAUACGUUGGACUCAUGACGGUACCGUAAGAAUAAGCACCGGCUAACUACGUGCCAGCAGCCGCCGUAA
rnacentral:rRNA from 1 species